CCUACGGGAGGCAGCAGUAAGGAAUAUUGGACAAUGGGCGAAAGCCUGAUCCAGCCAUGCCGCGUGAAGGAUUAAGGCCCUCUGGGUUGUAAACUUCUUUUAUAGGGGACGAAAAAAGGGAAUUCUUUCCCUCCUGACGGUACCCUAUGAAUAAGCACCGGCUAACUCCGUGCCAGCAGCCGCGGUAAUACGGAGGGUGCAAGCGUUAUCCGGAUUCACUGGGUUUAAAGGGUGCGUAGGCGGGUAGGUAAGUCAGUGGUGAAAUCUCGAAGCUUAACUUCGAAACUGCCAUUGAUACUAUUUAUCUUGAAUAUUGUGGAGGUUUGCGGAAUAUGUCAUGUAGCGGUGAAAUGCUUAGAUAUGACAUAGAACACCUAUUGCGAAGGCAGCAGGCUACGCAUAUAUUGACGCUGAGGCACGAAAGCGUGGGGAUCAAACAGGAUUAGAUACCCUGGUAGUCCACGCCCUAAACGAUGAUUACUCGACAUUUGUGAUACACUAUAAGUGUCUGAGCGAAAGCAUUAAGUAAUCCACCUGGGAAGUACGACCGCAAGGUUGAAACUCAAAGGAAUUGACGG
rnacentral:rRNA from 1 species